GCUGUGUGGCGGUCGGAGAUCGACGCCCUGAUGCGGCGUGAAGGCCGGCGGCUGUCCCCCGUACGGUGUCGGGGGCAUGGCC
rnacentral:tRNA from 1 species